GACGAACGCUGGCGGCGUGCUUAACACAUGCAAGUCGAACGGAAAGGCCCUGCUUUUGUGGGGUGCUCGAGUGGCGAACGGGUGAGUAACACGUGAGUAACCUGCCCUUGACUUUGGGAUAACUUCAGGAAACUGGGGCUAAUACCGGAUAGGAGCUCCUGCUGCAUGGUGGGGGUUGGAAAGUUUCGGCGGUUGGGGAUGGACUCGCGGCUUAUCAGCUUGUUGGUGGGGUAGUGGCUUACCAAGGCUUUGACGGGUAGCCGGCCUGAGAGGGUGACCGGCCACAUUGGGACUGAGAGACGGCCCAGACUCCUACGGGAGGCAGCAGUGGGGAAUCUUGCACAAUGGGCGGAAGCCUGAUGCAGCAACGCCGCGUGCGGGAUGACGGCCUUCGGGUUGUAAACCGCUUUCGCCUGUGACGAAGCGUGAGUGACGGUAAUGGGUAAAGAAGCACCGGCUAACUACGUG
rnacentral:rRNA from 1 species